AAAGGAAUUGACGGGGACCCGCACAAGCGGUGGAGCAUGUGGCUUAAUUCGAGGCAACGCGAAGAACCUUACCUGGGCUUGACAUAUAUAGGUCCUCCCAUGAAAGUGGGAUUCUCUUCGGAGCUUAUAUACAGGUGCUGCAUGGCUGUCGUCAGCUCGUGCCGUGAGGUGUUCGGUUAAGUCCGGCAACGAGCGCAACCCGUGUCUUUAGUUACCAGCGCGUUAUGGCGGGGACUCUAAAGAGACUGCCUGUGUUAAACAGGAGGAAGGAGCGGAUGAUGUCAAGUCAGCAUGGCCCUUAUGUCCAGGGCUGCACACGUGCUACAAUGGUUGGUCCAGUGGGAUGCUAAGUCGCGAGACGGCGCAAAUCCAAAAAGCCAAUCUUAGUUCGGAUUGUAGUCUGCAACUCGACUACAUGAAGUCGGAAUCGCUAGUAAAGGCGUAUCAGCUAUGGCGCCUUGAAUACGUUCCCGGGUCUUGUACACACCGCCCGU
rnacentral:rRNA from 1 species